rnacentral:lncRNA from 1 species
AAGAAACUAAUUGAUGAGUCCCCGAUCUCCGGUACCUUUUCCACAUCUUUGGACUUCCCUUUCUUUUGUCGUUUCAUUAUCCAAAUUGAAACCAACAAGAAUAUCAGAAAGGAUGAUAUAACCACAGGAGUAACAAUUUUUAGCACACCCUCCUUAAGCUUUGAUUGUUUUCCAGGAUUAGUGACAGCACAAGCAGGAAUAUCCAAUAUGUGCACUCCACAUAGACCUUUGUUCCCAAGAAAUGACUGCAGAGUGGUAUUUGCAAACACACCACUACUUGGUAUUACACCUUCUAAAUCAUUAAAUGAAACAUUAAUGCUUUGAAGGUAUGAGAGUUUUUCCAAAUAUACAGGAAUACUACCUGACAAUGCAUUUAAAGACAUUCAAGAAUUCCAAGUUUAUCAAGUUGGCAAAGGAUAAUGGAAUUAGGCCAAAAAAUGAAUUGUUCUAUAGGUCAAGAUACUGCAGGUUUUGGAGUUCCCCGAAUGUGCUUGGUAUCAUUCCUGAAAAGUGGUUACUGGAAAGAUGUAGUUCUACAAUGGCUUUCAGUCCUCCAAUAUCUGAUGGAACUUCUCCCUCUAUUGAAUUCUGUGACACGUCUAGAUAGAGAAGACCACUCAUUUUCCAAAGGCUCAAUGGAAAUUUUGAUGAAAAUUUAUUAGAACCCAAAUAAAGCUCUUGAAGCAUGCUAAGAUUUCCUAAGCAUUCUGGAAUUAAUCCAGAGAGCUCAUUACCAUACAGAUAUAAUUGAACCAAAUCAGACAAAUUGCAUACCGCUUCUGGAAUAUGUCCCUUCAAUUUAUUGUUAUCUAGAUACAGCCCUUGGAGUUGUUUAAGCUUACCAAUCUCAGAAGGAAUACUCCCUGUCAAGUUGUUUCCUUCAAUGUCUAUGGCUGUAAGACCGCUCAUAUUGCCUAUACUUGUGGGGAUGAGUUCAUUGAUGUGUGCAUAUCCUAUAUUAAAGUUUUGAAUAGUAGAUGAAAGAUUCCCAAUAGAAUUGCGCAGAACGCCAUUCAAUGGAUUGGAACCCACUUGUAGAUAUUUGAACAUGUAGCAUCCGGCAAUGUGAAAUGACUACGAAGAGGCUUAAAAUUGGAAAUUUUCAUUUUUGGAAAGAAUUUUGAAAAUUUGGCUAAGUAUGGGAAAGGGUGAGUUUUUGGCCAACUUUGAGCCAUCAUAACUUCUAGCUAAAGAUGAGUUAGGUGUAGUUCUAGUUAUGGUUGAAAAUUUCAUGGAAUGAUCUUUCCAACUCCACCGAGUUUGCUCGAUUUCGAGUUCGUAUGCGUGAGUUAUGCCCUUUGGAAGUUGGGCAGUUGGCAGGGAAAUCCGUCCGGAAAUUUUAAGGGCAUUUUGGUCUUUUCCCUAAUCAAUUCUUUUGGUUAUAUUAAAGUGUUAGACUGAUUUUUAUAUCAGUUUGUCCCGUUUUAAAAGAGUGAGAGUGAGGGUUUUGAGUGAAGAAGAGAAGAAGAAGAGAAGAAGAGGAGAAAGAGGAGAUCAAGCAAGUUUCUGUCGUGGAUAUCGUCGGGGGUGAUUCCUACUAGGUAUGUGAGUUCAAGUGUUGGGUUGAUCCUUUCCCCCACAUGCCAAACUCAUUUUAUUUUCGAGAAAAGAUUGAUUAUGCUGUUGAAGUUGUUGGGUUGUGUUGUUGGGUUGUGUUGUUGAUGUUGUUGAAGUUCCUUGUUGAUUUGGGACAUGUUUCCGGUUGUGUUUUUUAGUUGAAAUCUAUUGUAUGUUGAGGGGUUUAUGGUUCUAAGUGUUUGGUGUUGGAACCCUUGAGGUUUAGAAGGCUUAGAGUUGGAAAAUGAGGGAGAAAAAGUCGAACUUUCUGGGGAAGGGGCUGGCGCGUUGCGCCUGCCAGCGCGCCCAAAAAGGGGCUCUAAACUUUCCCCCUUGGGGCGCCGCGCCUUGCAGAGCGCCUCAGCUGGCCCUCUGAAAUUUGAGGGCUGGUGCUCCGCGCCUUGCAGAACGCCAAGGACGCCAAGCUUUCCCUUUCAUUCCCCACCCUUUCAUGCAUGUUCCUUGGUAUUGUACCUAUGUUUCCUAGUUGUUUCCAACACUCCAAGGUACAUUUAAAUGUUAAGAACUCAUCUACAAAUGUGUGGUCAUAUACCUUGAAUCCAUAAUCCAAUUUAAGGCAAGUUAGUAUCAAGUCAAAGUGAAGUUAGAGUCAAGUAAAGCAAAGCUAAGAAGUAAGUCUAAGCAAGUCUUUAAAGCUUUUCAAGAGUCGUUGUUGAACGUUUUAACUUCGUUUCAAGUUUUAAGUCAAGCAAAGAGUAUAGAGUUUCAAGCUAAGUAAAGAGUCUCAAGUUUCAAGUCAAGUGAAGAGUAUCGAGUUUCAAGUUAAGUCAAGAGCAUAAAGUUGAGUCCAUUUCUCAAAAGCUAUUAGGGAACUAAGUAUUCCCAAAGAAGGUCGUAAAUGUUUUUACAUUUGAGUAAGAGGGGAACCAUGUUUUCUAAAAGAGCCUUUGGGCUAAGUUUUGAGUAAUCAUCUCAAUUAAAGCAAGAUGUGUUUAAAGACACUUAUGAGCCAAAGUAUUUUUGGGAGUAGUAUUGAGCACCGAAUUGGGGACACGAGUUCAUAUUAACUCAAAUCUCCAUAAGAACCAUGUGCCAACAUGGGACUUGACGUAUCAUUCUUUUUAGAUGAUCAUGUAAGAUUUAGCUAGUGGAUCCACUAAGCAAAAGUAAGGUCCUAUAUCACGGCAAGGUAUAGGAUGGUCCUUGGGCAACGUGAGGUAAAACGUUGUAUCAUCACUAGGGCUCAUAGUGGUGGUUGUCGGUUAAAGAAUCUCCCACAAAAGCUGUAUUACUUUUAUAUAAGUAAAGUUGAGUUUGUUAUUGUUUAUCAUUUACGAGCUAAGUUGUUUAUACUGUUUUACAGCUAUAUAUAUUGCAUGUGUCUUAUUGCAUUAUAUGUUGAGUUCAAUUAUUCAUGAGUCGUACAGGGCCAAGGUAAGUGUUCUCUUGUACUCCUUUCAAGCUUAAGUUGUGGUUUAGCUUUCCAGCUCGCAUACUCGUACAUUCCAUGUACUGAUGCCAGUUGGCCUGCAUCUUAUUAUGAUGCAGACGCAGGUACCCAAGAUCAGCAUACAGCACGCCGUUGAUCCAUUUGAGCACUCCAAAGUCAGUGGUGAGCCUCCUUGCUUUCGGAGGACUCNNNNNNNNNNNNNNNNNNNNNNNNNNNNNNNNNNNNNNNNNNNNNNNNNNNNNNNNNNNNNNNNNNNNNNNNGCGGGGUCUGUCCCCACAUCCAUCUCAGUAUAUUAGAGGCUUCAAUAGACAGUCAGUCAGUCAGUUAGUUUUGAGUCUCUUAUCUAUGUAUAUAUGUAAAUAUUCUAUUUUGAGAUUCGAGUUGCCUUUGUGGCCAAAUUUUAUAAGUUAAGUUGUUUUGUAACCUUGCAUUUGCAUUGAGUUAUUCUGUUGAGUUAGGUUUCCGCUGAGUUAAGAAAGCCAGGCCAAAGGUUCACUUAGGGCCAGAAAUGGUCUCCAGGUGCCGGUCCCGCCCAGGGUGUAGGCUCGGGGCAUGACAGAACAUCCUAUAGUCCGCUAAAGAAUUGAAGAAUAACAACUCACGCUCUCUUGGUUCAUUGGUAAGUUGAUUAGUAUGUAGAAGUAGUAUUUGCAGCUCACGAAGAUUUCCCAAAUUGUUAGGAAUAGUUUCUGUGAGAGAGUUAUCAUCUAGCGAUAUUAUCUGAAGCUCGGAAGCAUUUGUUAUGAACAAUGGAAUUUCCCCUUCAAGCUGAUUACCUCCCAAGUGAAGACCUGUAGUGGUUGGAAUUCUCCCCGAGAGGUUAUUGAUAUUGAAACCAAUCACUUCCAAAGAAGAUAUGUUGAAAAUAGCCUCUGGAAUUUGACCAAUAAGAUUAUGAUUAUUGUCUAAGAUUAAUUGCCUCAAAUUUGAUAGCUUUCCUAAUUCUGGAGGAAUUUGCUCCACUAUGUGAUUGUUUCCACAAUUAAAAUAAUGCAGAGAGGAAAUAUUUCCCAAUGAAGUGGGAAUAGUCCCUUUUAUUGGAUUAUCACUAAUAAAAAGCAUCUCGAGUUUGGAUAAACAAUCAAUAUUUCCCAAUGAAGUGGGAAUAGUCCCUUUGCGUUUUUGGAGUGCAAGUGACACCAAACCAAGAGCAAAAGAAGUAUUUUGGUCCAAUUAUUGGCCAAAAAAUGAUUGGGACUUGUAAUAAGAUUUUGGAAAGCUAAUAGAGCUUGUUGGUCAGUCUCAUCAAAGGAAGCAAGUGAUAUAGAAAAUUGAAUUAGAAAGAGAAGAAUUAAAAAGAAAAUGUGCUUCUCCAUAUGAUAUAAAAUGUUCCAAGGGAAUUAAUUUGUGUGUGUUGUAUUCCAAUGAUCAAAGUUACUCCACUAUAUAUAAAUAAAAGGGAAAAUGCAUAAGUACCCCCAGCCUAUGCCCAAAAUCCCUGAGAUAGACCUAACCUUUAUUAAGGUCCUAUUACCCCCCGAACUUAUUUUAUUAUUAUAAUUUUCUACCCCUUUUCGGCCUACGUGGCACUUUCCUUGAAAAAAUUGUCAACACGCGCUGGGCCCACAAGAUAGUGCCACGUAGGCCGAAAAGGGGUAGAAAAUUAUAUAUAAAAUAAGUUCGGGGGGUAAUAGGACCUUAAUAAAGGUUAGGUCUAUCUCAGGGAUUUUGGGCAUAGACUGGGGGGUAGUUAUGCAUUUUCCCUAAAUAAAAUGUUGAAAAGUAUAGACUAUAAUUUCCAAAUGUGAAAACGGAUUCAUACGGAGGAGGAAAAUAAGUAACAAACAGAUUAAUGUAAAGACGUAGUAAAGACGCAAAAAGAAAAAAAACACUAAUUGGGUUGUGUUUCACAAAACGAAAUAAAAGUCAUAAUAGAAAGAAUAAAUGUUACUAUCAAUUUUCUAUAUAUAGUUAAGAGCCAAGUCAAUAGGAGUCAAUCUUUCAAAUCAACAUUACAAGGCUGUGUUACACAACACACAUUCACUACUUAGCACAAAAUGGAAGAUAUAUUAAUGUUUUCUUUUGAAGAAAAUCAAACGUGACACACACUACUACACACAUUGUCAUGUGUGAUUUCACUUUUUUUUUAAAAAAAAAAAACUAUUUUAUUAUUUUUAUUUUUGUUUUCUUGUAAUUCCAAAAUAUAAUAUAUUCAAAAUACAAAAACAGAUUAAUAAGGAGGAAAAUAAGUAGCAAAAAGAUUAAUGUGGAAACAAAUUAAAAGGAGGAAUAAGAAAGGGAAUUUAUCCAUUUUUUCCUUGACAGUUAACACUACUUGGGUUGUGUUUCACAAAAUGGAAUAAAAGUCGGUUUUCUUUGAAGAAUCUUGGUUACUUAGACUACUUUUUGGGUGUCGAAGUUAAAAAAAGCGUCAGAUGGUCUUAUUCUCUCUCAAUCCAAAUACAUUUAUGAUAUUUUAUCUGAAUUGGAUAUGCAAGAUUGUAAAGGAGUACUCUUGACUCCAAUGUGCUCAGGUAAACUACCUCGGGCAGCUGAUGGUUCUCCGCCUACUCAUGCUACAUUCUACAGGCGCACCCUUGGUAAGUUAUUGUUGGGAUAUAUACUAUUAACCAUAUGUUAAGAUAUAAUAUUUAUUAUAGAAUAAAUAUCUAUUCAGUUUUAAUAUAUCAUAUAUUCGUUUAUGGUGUCUAUUUACUUAUAUGGUAGAUGAUUUAGUGUGUAGAGUUUUAGCUUAUACACAAAUGAUUAAAUCAUCGGUUCUUAUAAGUAUAAAGUUUUCUGUUCACAAUCUAGGAUGGAAAUUGGACAUGUCAUCAGUACGAUUGUAGCACAAGAUUAUAUGUAAUUUAUCUUAAUUAUAGAAACGGUAUAGUUCCAACUUCUUGUGCUAGUGCAUUUUGUACUUAUUGAACGGGACCGAGUAGAGAUAGUUGAUUUAGAUUGGCUGACAAAAACAUAUUCUUUAAACUAUUAAAUGUACUUAUAUACUUAAUCCUAAUAUAACUAUUAUGAUCUGUAUAUAUUAAUUAUCGUUUUGAUUUAUUAAAAUGUGAGAUUCUGAGAUGGGUCAAUAUGCUUGGUAGAUUGGAUGAUAAUAAUAUAUAAUGGUGAAAUAAUAAAUUAGUUGAUGGAAUCCAUGUCACGUUAUAGAGAUUGAUUGAUAUGCCUUUUUGAGAAACUUACAAGUUUUCACCGUGUCAAACCUUGCAAGUGGAUUUAUGAAUCCGACAUAUGAAAUAAGUUAAGUAGUGUUCUAAAGGAAAUUAAUCAUUAAUUUAAAUUCAUCAGUAAUUUAAUUUAUUGAUUAGUAUAUGUAAUCUUAACAUGGGAAUUACACAAGUGUUUAAUGGGAAUUUUGAGAUAUAAAUUGAGGAGUGCAAUUACGAAUUUCUAGUGGAAUGGUUUGUAAUUUAUUAUGAUAAGAAUAAUUGAUCAAAUUAAUUAUUUGAAAUUAUUUCCAUAAUAGAAGGCCUGAGUAAUUAAUUAUGUGGUCCCUACAGUGCUCAUAUUUAACUAGAACUCAGAAUCCUAUUUAUAUGAAAAAAGGAAGAAUAAUGUGGGUUUUUCGAAAAACUAUGUUUUCUACUCCUUUUUGGAUUGGGAAGGAAUCUCUAUAAAUAGGGAUUCUCCUAACCUAAAAAAGUGAUGAUUUAGUUUUCUAUUUAUACUUGCGCACCCAAGUAUUGAGAGAGUUCGGAUGUGAACUUGGGAUUGCUGUAGAAGACCAUAGUUGUUGUCUAUUAUAUGGAUUCACUUGAAGGUAAAUCUAAUUUGUGGAUUUCGCUUGAAGGUAUCUGCUCACGCUUCAAGAGGUAAUUCUUGAAUUAAAUUCAACAAGUUUAUGUGUUCUAGCAUGAUUAUGUGUUCUAGCAUAAACGAUUAUUGGUUAUCUAUUAUUCAUUCUGAUAUGCUUCUGUUGUGCAUAUAGUUUUCCAAUAGUUACAAGAUUUAUCAUUCACACAGCCUGCUAUUUCUUAUGCUGUCAACAAACUAUCACAGUUUAUGCAUGAACUUACCAUGAACAUGGGAAGGCAGUUAAGAGGAUAAUGCGGUAUCUUAAAGCCACAACUGUUGACAUCCAAUUUUGGACCUCCACGAUGGGAAUUAAUUUUCGAGCUUCUUUAAUUUCAAAUGAUUUGAAAUAACUAAUUUUAUGAAAAAUUCAAAAUAUGUUUCAAGUUAUUUUAAAGAAUUUUACUCACUUUUAUAAUAUUUUAAAGAGAAAAUGGCCAAAUUCCCCCUCAAUCUAUAACCAAAUUCUCAACUACACACUUAUAUUUUAUGGGAGUCCUAUUACCCCCUUGAACUAAUUUAAAGCGAAAUAUAUACCACCCUAAAACUAGAGAACCACAUUUCUUCGAAUGUGGUGUGCACACGCGCUGCUACAGCUGUCAAAUAUCAUAUAUUUUUUUUAAAAANNNNNNNNNNNNNNNNNNNNNNNNNNNNNNNNNNNNNNNNNNNNNNNNNNNNNNNNNNNNNNNNNNNNNNNNNNNNNNNNNNNNNNNNNNNNNNNNNNNNNNNNNNNNNNNNNNNNNNNNNNNNNNNNCAAAUUCUGCAAUCUUGGCACCAAUUUCAAGUUCGAAAUUCUUGCUAAUCGUCUGGGACUUGAGUACGAUUGCGCCCUUUUGAUUCCUUCUUUAAAUAGUGAAGGAUUUAUGCCUUUUAAACUUGAGGAAAUAAUUUGGAUUAUCAGGGAUGAGCAUAAUCAACUGGUGGUUGCUGCUCAAGUUCCUAAAAUCGUUAUUGGGUGUAGUUUGAAUUCUUCAUCGAACAAUAAUAGAGAUUAGAGAUAAGAUCUGAAAGUUGGUGAAUUUUAUUAGAGUGAAGAGAUUAAAGACGAUUUAAUUUUAUUCACUAUAUGAGUAAUAAUUUUAAUGCUUAUUUGGUGAUUUCAAUGGUGAUUUACAAUGUUAAGAAUUGUGAAUAAAUAGUGAGACAAAUAAUGAGAAAGUAUUAAAAGAUGGGGGAAGAGAUGGGCUGCUAUGGUAGUGGACUAGAGGUAGUUCAACAAUGGUGAUGAAGAACAUGUACAGGUGGGGUGAUUUUUUUUUUGAGUAAUAAGAGAGAUGAGGGGGUGGGGUGGGGGGGAGUAGAGAAAAUUAAAUGAAAGUCAAAAGUAAAAAAAUUAUAUUUAAAAAAAAGUCAUAAAUAUUUUUAAAUAUACUUUUAUCAGUUUUUUCAAUUUUCACAUGCCUUCAAGAGAGUGAACACACUCUCUGUGCCAUGUCAGCACUUAAGGGUGCAUUUAUACCACUUUAAAAUAGUUCAAGGGGGUAAUAGGACCCCUGUAAAAUAUAAGUGUGUAGUUGAGAAUUCGGUUAUAGAUUGAGGGUGUAUUUGACCAUUUUCUCUAUUUUAAAUAAUGAAUAUGUUUUAAAAUCUUUACAUAUGUUACUAAUAUAUUUUACAAAUAUUUGAAAUUUUUUUUCUUUUUUUUAGUUAAACGCUUUAUUAAUUUGGCUUAGUUUAAAUUAUGGAUAUGUUGUUGAAUUAGUUAUUUUUAUAAAGUUAAUUAUUUUAUUUUGUUAAAAUUAAGAAGCUCAUUAAUUAAUUAAUAUCAAUUCAUCUUAUUUUCAAAUUUUAGCCAGAUUUGCUAAUCAAAAUCAAUUUGACUACAACAUUAAUUUCGUAUGGUUAAAUUGUUAAUUCAUGUAGUCUUUCUAAUUGCAAUAACCCUUUUAUUGCAAUUUUAACUAUCCUUUUACCUUACCCUUUUAAGACUCUAAGUUGGGCCAUACAAUUCCCAAACUCCAGCAAAUCCCAUACGUUACAACACUAAUGCCCAACAGUACAGCAGCCCACUCAUUUCAUUCCAGCAAUUCCGACAACCCAGCCCAAUUCCCAUCCGACCCGGCCCACUUUUUCAAUUCUAAAGAGACCCAUAUCUUUUCACCAUCAGCAGCUUCCAUCUUCACGACAAGGACACGGCAUCGACAUAACUUCCAAGCGACAUCAACGGAAUAUGCUAUCCCAACGUUCACAAAGAAAAUCACGCAGCAAUUCAAUGUCAAUCGAUUCAAAUGGAGAUACACGGUGUCUCACGGCGUCAAGCGAAUCAGAGACCAGUACGAUUUUGUUGUCAUCUUCUACAACACAACAGAGCAGCAUAAAGCAAGCACAUGGCUGUUCCCAUAUCCUCUUCUGGAAUGGGACAAAACUUCAGAAAAAAUGGUGUUUAGCUUGAAUAGUGAAAGAAUUUUUAUUUUUGAAUUUGGAAUUGGGCCUUGAAUUUGGAUUUCGUCCGUUUUCCCUCCCCUUUUCUGAACCCUAAUUCCCCUUCUAUAUAUGUUGCUUGUUAUUCACUGUUGAGAGGAGGAGAUUUUCCAGUUGGAAGAGUUUUUAGCAAAAAUAUAAGAAUAGCUUAAGAAAAAGUAGUCUGAAUACAUAUGAAAUACACUCUGAAAUAGAGAGAACUUAGUUUUAUUUUCCUUUUGGUGCUAUCCAUCGCUCUAUCACAAGUUCAUUCGAACUCGAGAUAGCUGCUCAGAUUUCUGUCCAGACUCCCUAUUUGUUGUCUGGGGUCAAGUUCGUGUAGUGGUGAAGUCGUUGCUACCUUUUGGUUCCUGUUCGCUGUCCGAAAAAGGUAACACUACUCUCUCCCAAUAACAUUCUCUUCAUCUCUUUUCUUAUUUCAAUCUUUGGUGUUGGAAGACCUCUGUUCCGAGGGUGGUCUACUAAUAUAUGUAGUUGGGUUUAUGGUGUUGUUGAUGUGAUGCAUAUACUCCUAUGUGAUUUCGCGUCUUGGUCGGGUGAGAUAUUAGUAAAGCUAUCUUGGGAUAUAUAUUGAUCUUUAUAUUCGCUAACUUGAUUGUGAGUCUUUAAUUAACGGAAUCCCUGCCUCACGUUGCUUGAGAAGGUUAGAUUCACAUUUUGUAGGUGUUUGGCCAUGCGAUACCAUAUCACGAUAUGGUAUCGUGAGAUGGAAUCAGCGUUUGGACAUGCGAUUUUACGCUGAUUCCAUCUCAUGAUUCCAUAUCAUCAGAGGUGAUACCAUAUUCUCCAAAAACAUGAUAUGGAAUUAUAUGGUGAUUCCAUAUCAUGAUUUGAGAUAUUUUAAUACAAUAAUUGAUCCAUGAGUUUAUAUUUUGUUAAAACAACCCCACAUUUAUAUCUACUAACCAUUUGUUUCAUAUGUAAAUAAAAUUUAUAAUCACAUCAUUACUUUUUAAAAUUUAUUAUUCUCACCGACAUAAAAUUUAUUAUUCUCACCAACAUAUAGUCACUUUAACUCACACCUCACGAUUGUGAAACUUUUCAACAUUCACUUGAAACAAUUAACCGGCAUGUUAAAAUAGUUGCCGAGGCAAUUAGCAAGAUGGCACCAACAUAUAUACAACCAAAAAAUAUGACUGGCGUACAUUACCAAAAUUCGACAUAAUACUCGAUUUUGGCCUGGUUUAAGGUAAAAUUUCAAUCACAUUAUAAAUUUAUUUUAUGGCCUUAAUAAGUGAACAUUUUAUAUUUUUAUGUGUAAGUUAUUAGUAUUUAGUUACAUAUUUCCUAUCAACUCUGUUUAAAGAGAUAAUAUUUAUUUUAUGACUUUGCAUUGUCUUGGAAGCACUAUUUUUAUUACUCUUACAAACAUUAUUUUUAUGAAGUGCAUUCUAUAAUGCUUCCAAUUUAUUUUAUGUUCACUAAACUAAUAUUGAUGUAUUUUUUAUUUGAUUCCAUAUCAUGAUACCAUAUCAUGAUUCCAUAUUAUGAUACCAUAUCACAUGGCCAAACGGGCCCUAAUAGUUUAAAUGAUGAGUGAAUAGGUUGCGUCAUUUCGGCCUCGCACACUUUGUUCUUAUUUUCGUUCAUAUGAUAUAAUGUUAGUCGUUAAUUUGAUGUCCAUACCUGUUUUGGUUUAACUCGUGAUGUUGUGUUCAUAGCUCCGUCUUCGUAAAGUUUCGGCAUAGCUAGAGUGACCUUUGCCUUUUCCAGAAAACAAUUUUCCUGCCUUUGUUUAAAUCUGUAGGUGUUAUUUCUAGUUCUUACUUGUUGAUUAGUCGAGUUAUUCAUUCGGUGUCAUUGUCCAACCGUGUUGUUUUCUAUGGACAUUAUUUAUGCUAGUUUAUGCUAUCGUUUAGCAUAUUUAGUUUGAAUAGCGAUGUCGUUUUGUUUAGGCAUUUAGAUUGUAGCCAUUUUCCUCUUUUUGUUUCAAGUGAGUUAGUUUGACCCUUUAGCAUGAUAAGCUGUUAGCUUUAAGUCUCCAUGGAUAAAUCAGGUAUCGAUUAUUGCAUAAAGUGUGAUGUUUGUCUAGUGUGCAGCAUGCUCCCUCUCUAUCUCUUUAUACUUUGGAAUCUUCUUGUUUGUUAAUUGCUUGUUCAUAAUGUGAGCUUUCUUUUGCUAUGCCAAUGCUUAUUCUCCUUUUGAACUUUUACUGUCAUUAUAUAUGUUGUACCUAGGAAUUUCCCUGUGUUAGGAUUUUUGGUAGUCUAAUGUGGAAUUUGUCACUUUCUAUUUUGUAUUAAAUUCCUUCUCGUCCCUGUUAAGUCAUAAGAUGAGUAGCAAAGGUUUUGUCUUGCUAACAGUGGAAUUCUUUUGUCUUUUUUUUAAAGGUCAUAAAUAAUUGUGUCUAGCCAUGACUUAGAGUCAAGUAUUUUCUAAUUGCUUUAUUCAUAUGUUCUAGCUAGGUGCCUUAUUUCAUAUGCUUUAUUUUUAAUAACUGUUGGUCUUUAGCAUUACAUGAUCGAUAACUUAAGCGGAGAAAUCUAUUUGUAUCGAUAUGGUGUUAGCUCUUCUAUAUAUAUAUAUAUAUUUAUAUAUAUAUAUGUUUUAUCUUAUCGAAUCAUCGACUUUCUUGUUGCUUGUUUGUGUGCAUUGUGCAAGAGUCAUUAGAUUAGGUUGAUAAUUACUCCUAGUUUGAAGGCCCUGAUUACUACUUGAUUUUUGAGCUCAUAGUCACUACUAUUUAUUUUCUUAUGUUGUCUUAACUUGAUUAAUUUGUUUGACCUUAGCUUGAAUGUUGUAUUCACUUUGAUGCAUUUAUUAUUUUUGCAACUGAUUAAUCUUCAUUGUCAUUUAGAUGUAUCUUUUAAGAUAUUACUUUCGAAUACUAAUCCUUAUUUCCUUUUUGUUGCAUGUGAAAUUUGCCUUGAGUUCACCAUGAACUCAUCUUCCCGGUCUUGCAUUUUGGAAGAGCCAUAAAGGCUCAAAUUCCUUUUUUGAGUCAGUCAUCCAUUAAAAUCGACGAACAGGUCUCGAAGGUGGAAAAAUGCGAAAGCGGAGGAUAUUGAAAAGAUUGGGCCAAAGGCCCACUCUUUAGAUAAAAAGGAUUGUAUUUUGUUUUUUAUUGGGCCUAAGCCCAUUUAGUCAUUAUGUUUAUUAUUUUGUAAGAGUUUAGGACAGAUGAAAAAUUGGGCCUAAGGCCCAAAGAAAAAUAUUUCUUUACGUUAGUUUAGGAUAGGUGCAGGUGACUCUAAUGGGCCGAAGGCCCAAAACAAAAAUGGGCCCAAAUACUGGCCUAGGCGGAUAGGAAAACCAGAUUUGGGCCUAAGUUUCUUUCCCUCUUUGCUUUAUCGUGUUUGUUUACUUGCCGAUAUCUGCUACUUAAUCUUAAGGUUUUAAAAAAUUCAAAUCCCCGAAAGACACCCAUUCUGAGUUAAUUACUUAACUAAGCUAUUCAUCUUUUACUUGACUAAAUAAAUAAAUAAAUAAAUAAAUAAAUAAAUAAAUAAAUAAAUAAAUAAAUAAAUAAAUAAAUAAAUAAAUAAAUAAAUAAAUAAGUUUAUAAAAUAUUUCAUUUAGGUAAUAUUUCAAUAUUUUUCUUUUAAAAUGGUCCUAAAAUUGUUCAAUCCAAAUUAAGUCAAACAAAUCUAGCUAAAUAAUUAAUUGCCGGAUAACCGCGUAUUAGCAGGCAUUUCGGGUGCUUUCAAACCCUUCCCGAAAUGCUAAUAUGAACCCCGAACUCCUUUGAAUAUUUUCAUCAGAUUUAUGUUUUAAUCUUUUGAAAAAAAUAGUUUUCUUGAUUUUUCUUAAAAAUUAAGUGGCGACUCUAAACCAGUAUAAUUAUAUUUUCUUAAUAAAACAACAAUAACUUCAGGUCUUCGAAUUCUUCGCAACUUAGACAACAAUCUUUACAUGUACGUUGAUGCCAAUUGGGCCGGAGACCCGAAUGACAAAAUAUCCACAUCAGGUUAUGUUCUUUUAUUUGGGUACAAUCCAGUGAGUUGGUCAUCCAAAAAGCAACAAGUUGUAGCUCGCUCAUCCACUGAAGCAGAGUACAAAUCAGUAGCAAAUGCACUUGCCAAACUCAUAUGGGUGCGCAACUUGCUCAAUGAAUUGCGUAUCACCAUUCCAAAUACACCCACAAUCUUUUGUGACAAUGUUGGUGUCACUUAUCUCUAUCAUAAUCCAGUGUUUCAUAGCCGUAUGAAACAUAUUGCUGUGGACUUCUGUUAUGCUAGGAACCAAGUUCAAGCGCAUCAGGUUCUUGUCACACACACUCACACUUGUGCUAAUACAUUUACCAAGCCCUUGCCAAAACCAGCCUUUGAACGGUGUCAUUCCAAGUUAGGCAUUGUUGCACCACACUUAACUUGAGGGGGUGUAUUAAGCAUUAGUUACGGUAAGAGUUACUAUUUUAGAGUAUCAAUAGAAGACUCCCCCUAUUGUUUAGGAGUAUAGGUUGAAGUUAGUUUCCUUAAAUUUAGUUGUUGUAGGUUGUACUUAUCUAUUGUAUUUAAAAUUUGGGUACUGAAUGAAUAAGAUUAUCUUUUCUACUACUUUUCUCUAUCUGAUUUUAUAACUUUUUCCCAUCCAUGUAAUCUAGUGUGGGUUCCAAAAACAAAUGCCAAUGGACAUGAAACGCUUUGAAGGAUCAGAGCAGAUGCACCAUCUUCUCUGUUAUUGUUAUGCGUGUACUAAUAUUUGCUUGUACUCCCUCUGUCCACUUUUAAUUGUCACAUUGCGCUUUUCAAAAGUCAAUUUGAUUAAUUUUCAUAAGUAAAUUAGAUUAUAUUAAUUCAAUUCAAUUUAGAUAGUAAUCACAUGUGCAAAGCUUUGAUGCAGAAAUCAGUUUUCAUAUGUUUGACAAGCACUCUGAAGUAGAAACAGCUAAUUGGUCAUAGGCUUUCUUUCCCAUUGCUUCUUCCACUGUUGUAAAAAAAUGCUUCUUUUACUACCUAAACAAUCAACCUUAGCUUCUUUACAUACUGUUCUGAUACCGAGUUUUCCCAAGUGAUGUUCCUCUAUAUAAAAUAAACUCAUGAAUAUAGCAGAAGCCUCACAUGUAUUACCGGCUCCAUCCUGAAUAUAGCAGCUGCAAAAUGAGCCACCAUAUAUUUUUCCUUUGAAUUCGGUAUCAAUCUGUUACUGAUGCAAACAAUCUGUACACAUGCCUAACUUGUAGAUAAAAUAUAAUAGGAGAAUAAACUGCAGUUUAAUUACCGAGUUCCUGAUCCUCACAGAAACAAGUGAGGAAAAAACUGCCAAAAAGUGGAUCAUGGCACUUUUUGAUCUAUUAAACAGAGAGUGCACAAAAUGUGUUAAAGAUAAGAAAUCUAAUGUGAAUUACAUAUUAAUCAUAUCAUUUUAGUUCUCACUAAUACAUUAGCAGGCUUAACUUCUUAAUCUAUGGGACUGCGGAAAAAGAUAUGUUUAAUAGUAUGCAUGAGUUGCAUUCCUUGUUACCGCUGGCCUAACGCCCUCACAUAAUUACUUUCUCAACUGAUUUGCAGCUCAGUAAAGAACAGAUGCUGAUCACUUCUAUGUUUCCAGAAAUGCGUUCUUGAUUUUGUUAAGCCUCUUCACUACUUCUUUCAUGGUCACUCUUGAUUCUGGCGUUUCCUUUGUGCAGUCUAAACCCAAUUCUAUCAUGGACGCUAUGCACAUUUCACUUUUACUAGUGAUUUGUUCUUCCUCACAAAAAAGAUUGACAUCCACAACGUCCAUCAUACUACCUGAAAAUGAUAGUGUAAUCCAUUUCCUCAAGUCAAGAUUUCCAUUGCAUAUCUCUUCAUCUGUUGGCCUUCUUUUCGUCAAAACCUCCAUCAACAUGAUUCCGUAGCUAUAAACAUCACCACUAGUGGACACUAUUCCCUCUGAGCCAUAUUCUUAAAAAUGGAUUGAAGAAAAGUUACUCAAUUGAAAUACAACAAUAAUUCUCUUUUUACUUCUAUAACUUGGAGAGGCUUUAUUAUGAUAAGAGAAAAUCAAUGAGAGUAGAUUUUUUAUACCUGGUGCAAUGUAUCCAAGAGUCCCCAAUGUCUCGCUAUAAGCCAUGAACUUGCUUAUGGCUAAAAUUUUAGAGAUUCCAAAAUCACCAACAUGAGCCACCAUAUCUUCAUCCAAAAGUACGUUUGCUGGCUUUAAGUCGCAAUGAACUAUUGGAGUGACAUGACCAUGAUGUAGAUAUUCAACUGCCAUAGCUGCAUCAAGCAUUACAGUGACUCUUUGAUGAAGGUUCAAGUGGCGAUCUUCUUUGUAUAGCCAAUUCUCAAGACUUCCAUUGGGCAUAAAUUGCAGAACAAAGGCUCUUAUAUNNNNNNNNNNNNNNNNNNNNNNNNNNNNNNNNNNNNNNNNNNNNNNNNNNNNNNNNNNNNNNNNNNNNNNNNNNNNNNNNNNNNNNNNNNNNNNNNNNNNNNNNNNNNNNNNNNNNNNNAUCUCCAGUACCUUUUCAACAUCUUUGGACUUCCCUUUCUUCUGUCGUUUCAUUAUCCAAACUGAAACCAACAAGAAUAUCAGAAAGGAUGAAGUAACCACUGGAGUAACAAUUUCUAGUAAAACCUCCUUGAGCUUUGAUUGUUUUCCAGGAUUAGUGAUAGCACAAGCAGGAAUCUCCAAUAUGUGCAUUCCGCAAAGACCUUUGUUCCCGAGAAAUGAUUGCAGAGUGGAAUUUGCAAACACACCACCACUCGGUAUUUCACCUUCUAAAUCGUUGAAUGAAACAUUAAUGCUUUUAAGGUAGGAGAGUUUUUCCAAUGACUUAGGAAUAUUACCUGACAAUGCAUUUAAAGACAAAUUCAAGAAUUCCAAGCUUAUCAAGUUGGCAAAUGAUAAUGGAAUUUUGCCAAAAAAUGAAUUGUUUGAUAGGUCAAGAUACUGCAGGCUUUGGAGUUCCCCGAAUGUGCUUGGUAUCAUUCCUGAAAAGUGGUUACUGGAAAGAUAUAGUUCUACAAUGGCUUUAAGUCCUCCAAUAUCUGAUGGAACUUCUCCCUCUAUUGAAUUUUGUGACAAACUUAGAUAGAGAAGACCACUCAACUUCCAAAGGCUCAACGGAAAUUUUGAUGAAAAUUUAUUAUAACUCAAAUAAAGCUCUUGUAGCAUGCUAAGAUUUCCUAAGCAUUCCGGAAUUGAUCCAGAGAGCUCAUUAGUAUGUAGAUAUAAUUGAACCAAAUUAGAUAAAUGGCAUACCGUCUCUGGAAUAUGUCCCUGCAAUUUAUUGUUAUUUAGAUACAACCCUUGGAGUUGUUUAAGCUUACCAAUCUCAGGAGGAAUACUUCCCAUAAAGUUGUUUCCUUCAAUGUCUAGGGAUGUAAGACCACUCAUGUUGCCUAUGCUUAUGGGGAUGAGGCCUCUGAUGUGUGCGUAUCCUAUAUACAAACUUUCGAUAGUAGAUGAAAGAUUCCCAAUAGAAUUGAGCAGAAUGCCAUUCAACAGAUUGUUACCGACUUGUAGAUAUUUCAACACCCUACAGUUUGCCAAAGAAUAGAAAAAUAACAACUCACGCUCCCUGGGUUCAUUGGUAAGUUGAUUAUGAUGUAGGUAUAGUUCUUGCAGCUCACGAAGAUUCCCCAAAUUGUUAGGAAUAGUUCCUGUCAGAAAGUUAUCACUUAGCUCCAGUAUCUGAAGCUUGGAAGCAUUUGUUAUGAAUGCUGGAAUUUCCCCUUCAAGCUGAUUACCUCCCAAGACAAGCUGUUUAAGGUUUGGAAGAUGAAGACCUGUAGUGGUUGGAAGACCUGAGAGGUUAUUGAAACUGAAAUCAGUAAUUUCCAAAGAAGAUAUGUUGAAAAAAGCCUCUGGAAUUUGACCAACAAGAUUAGAAUUUUGGGCAAAGCUUAAUUCCCUCAAAUUUGAUAGCUUCCCUAAUUCCGGAGGAAUUUGCCCCACUAUGCGAUUGUUUCCACAAUAAAUAUAUUGCAGAGUGGAAAUAUUUCCCAACGAAGUGGGAAUAUUCCCUUUUAUUGGAUUUUCACCAAUAAGAAACAUCUCAAGUUUGGAUAAACAACCAAUAUUUCUGGGUAUGUCUCCAGUUAUGUUGUUGAAAUAUAUGGACAAAACUUUGAUCUUUGUGAGUUGGCAUAUGUUGGAAGGAAUGCAACCAGAAAUUUGGUUGUGAGAUAUAAUUAGAUAUUUGAGAUUUGACACAAUAUUCCCUUCAUCUAGCAAGAGAGGGCCGGAAAGGCUAUUGUAUCGCAGAUGUAUGGCAAGUAGCGACGAGAUAUUAAACAGUUCUGCGGGAAUGGAACCUAUUAAUUGAUUAUCAGUCAAGGACAAGUCUGUAAGUUGGCUCAGAUUACCGAUCUCCUUUGGAAUGUUGCCGCUGACUCUAUUCCCAGACAUACUGAAGUUCAUCAUUUUUGUGGCAUUUCCAACAGAAGGAGGGACUAUACCGGUGAGGCUAUUGUUCCCGAGAUCUAAGACUCUGAGUUCGGGUACAUACCAUGGGCCUCUCCACAUUUCACCACUGAGUUCAUUGAAAGCCAAUGAAAUUACUUGAACUCUCCGGUUUUGAAAUAGACUUGUUGGUAUACUUCCGUUGAGCUGAUUGUUUUUAACGUCAAUGACUCGCAAGCGAGGCAUGUGGCCAAGUCCAUAAGGGAUGCCACCGUGGAAGCUGUUGUUCUGGAGAUUGAGAAUACUGAGGAAGGACAAAUUGGUUAAAGACGGGGUAAUUGUGCCUUGAAGUUGCAAAUUAGGAAGAGCCAAGGCCAUAACCCUUUGCCUUUUAGGAGUGCACGUGACACCGAACCAAGAGCAAAAAGAGGUAUUUUUGGUCCAAUUAUUGGCCAAAAAAUGAGUGGGACUCGUAACAAGAUUUUGGAAAGCUAGUAGAGCUUGUUGGUCAGUCUCAUUGGAAUAAGCAAGUGAUGUAGAAAAUUGGAUUAGAAAGAGAAGAAUCAAUAAGACAAUGUUCUUUUUCAUGCUGUAACUAUGCUAUGCACCUGGAAACAGAUUGCUUCAAAGCUUGAUUUGUUUUUGAAAUAUAUAGCAACACUUAUGUUGUUGAGUUGACAGAGCAAUUGGUAUUUGCCCAAGUCUUUACGAUAUCACUAUUUCCAUAGUCUUCACUGCCCCCACAUGUACUAUCACAUCAAUCAUAUAUACAAAACAUUAAUUUCUUUGGUAUGAUGAAAUGGUCCUUAAAUUGAAAAUUAUUUGAUAACAUACUAAUCUAUGGUUUGGUCAUCAUUAUUAAUUUCUUUCGUAUGGAAUGGUCCAAUUAUUUGAUCUCUUUUUCCUAUAUUUAUAAUCUAUGGUUUGUUCAUCAUUAUUAUUAAGGUAACUCUUCCACUAGAAAUAUGCUUGUGUUAUUAAAAUUUGGAGGAUACAAAAUAAUAUUCUUCUAAAAUAUUGAUGUUCUGUACGUCUAUUUUUUUUCUCUUCAGAUUUCACUGUAUAGUUAAUAACACUUCAGAACAAAUAUAUUCUAAGAAGAUUUUUAUAUGUAAUAUAUAACUGAGAGAUAUAAUAAUCACAACAUUCGUUUAAGAGUGAAUAGGCUAAUAAACCACUCAAGUAUUUUCGUUUUGCAAGUUUAAUACAUAAACUACAAAACCCAUGAACUCAUAUUAAAACUUCAUGGAGGAGGAAUAUGACAUUCAAUGUGAACAUCAACCAUUCAAUGUCAACUACAAAACUGUCACGAUCCAAGGUAGUCUCUAGGCAUAACAUGGCGUAUAGGACCCCGGGAGGCCUCCAUACAAGCCACUUAGCAUUCAUAACAUAAGAAAUAGAAAUAUAAGAGAUUCAAAAGACAGUUUUCAACGUAGAGAGUUUAUAAAAGCAAAACGGAACUCUAAACAUCAUCUCAAAUCCAUCUAGUACAUAAGAAUGAAUUUGAGCGAACCCCGUACAUCAUGUUCAAAACUGAAAGAAACAAAAGACUGAAAACAAUAAAUGUUCGUCCUCGAAGCAUGAGAACUCACCAAAGCUCGAAAUCUCCUCAACGAACUCUAGCCACGAAACCGGGAACCCUGACUAUCAGACCCUACAUUUAGGAAACUGUAGGUAAGAGUAUGCGUUAGUACAAACAUGUAACAAGUAUGAUAGCCAUGCAUAAAAUCAUUUGAAAACAUGCUUAAAAGGGAACAUUUUCAUAAACAUGCAAUGACCAAGCUAAAACAUGUUAAUAAGAGUUAGAAAGCGUAAGUCAUAAAACAAGGUCAAUGCAAGCUGACAUCUUCAAGACAUUCAUGAGGUACUUAUAAAAGUAACCUUAGUUCAUAAUUGUGGCAAAUUUACCUUUAACCGACAUAUAAGACCAUGUGAGCUAUCAACACGGAAUCCGGUGUCUCCCACACCGGAAAGGGUUGUCCUACUUGCCAAGGUAAGGCCCAUGAACUUCUAGCUUAGGUGGAUCCACUAGCUAAUAUCUAGAUAAGACAACAUCCUAUGGUGGUACAUAGUUAAGGGACAAGGAGAUUGCUUCUAGAAAACCCGUCUCUACCAACGAGAGAGCAUCCAUCUCAAUAUCCGCUUGAUACUAAGAGUAAUUCCCACAGAAUAGUCAAUUAUGCAUACUUGUCUUUAUUAUCCAUGGAAGGGCACGCCAUAUUGCUAAUCCGAGCUAAGUAAUGUAUUAUCCAUGGAAAGGUAUCAUUCAAUAACCAAUCCAAGUUAGCUUUCAUUAGAAUAACUCCUUAAAUCUUUGAUUCCGAGUGUAGUUGAGAAAACCUUUCAACCCUAAAAAUCCUUUAUGUGAGAAUAUCCUUUCACAAAUUAUGCUUUCAUGUGUAUAUGAGAAAUCCUUUCACAACACAACAAAUAACAACAUUGAUACUUUACUCUUAAAGUAUCCUUAAAACAUUUACAUCAAUUUCAUGAGAACAUGCUUAAUUUCAUAAACUCUUCUUUCAUAAUUCAAAACCCACAUCAUAUGAUCAUACCUUGGAAAACAUGAGAAUUGUGUGGGUUCAUGGGGAUCAUCAUAAAAACAUGAGAUUAACUCAAUUCAUGUAUAGAAGAUCAUAAAUUAAUCAGUUAAAUCCAUAAUUAAGAGAACCAUAACAUAGAAGAAAUUCCUAAUCUCAAUUAGGGAAUUCUAAUUUUGUAAAUUGGAGAAUUUGGGAACUCCAUGAAGGAAAGGGUUUCAUGGAUGAAAACUAUAAUACCUCAAUGCCAAAAGCUUGCCUUCAAUGAUGGAAUUGGAGGCUUGACUUGAAACCCUAACUUUCUUCUUCAACUUCUAGAGAGAGAAAUAUUUGAGAGGAAGACUUGUUCUUCUU